rnacentral:rRNA from 1 species
CGGUGGUUUUCGGGAAGGCAAUUACGUCACGAAUAUUAUCGGUGCCGGUCAGAAGCAUGGUCAAACGGUCCAGACCGAAUGCCAGACCCGCGUGCGGCGGCGUACCGUAUUUCAGUGCGUCGAGCAGGAAGCCAAACUUCUCACGCUGUUCCUGUUCAUUGAUGCCCAGAAKMUAACGCGUUAAAUAGACCGCCUGGGGAGUACGGCCGCAAGGUUAAAACUCAAAUGAAUUGACGGGGGCCCGCACAAGCGGUGGAGCAUGUGGUUUAAUUCGAUGCAACGCGAAGAACCUUACCUGGUCUUGACAUCCACAGAACUUGGCAGAGAUGCCUUGGUGCCUUCGGGAACUGUGAGACAGGUGCUGCAUGGCUGUCGUCAGCUCGUGUUGUGAAAUGUUGGGUUAAGUCCCGCAACGAGCGCAACCCUUAUCCUUUGUUGCCAGCGGUCCGGCCGGGAACUCAAAGGAGACUGCCAGUGAUAAACUGGAGGAAGGUGGGGAUGACGUCAAGUCAUCAUGGCCCUUACGACCAGGGCUACACACGUGCUACAAUGGCAUAUACAAAGAGAAGCGACCUCGCGAGAGCAAGCGGACCUCAUAAAGUAUGUCGUAGUCCGGAUUGGAGUCUGCAACUCGACUCCAUGAAGUCGGAAUCGCUAGUAAUCGUGGAUCAGAAUGCCACGGUGAAUACGUUCCCGGGCCUUGUACACACCGCCCGUCACACCAUGGGAGUGGGUUGCAAAAGAAGUAGGUCGAGAAGUUCAAGAAAGAUGGCACGAUGCCUGAGAAGGUCACGAUCACCAAGUCGACGCUGUAUCUGCCGGA